rnacentral:rRNA from 1 species
UAGUCCACGCCGUAAACGAUGAGUGCUAGGUGUUGCGGGUAUUGACCCCUGCAGUGCCACAGCUAACGCAUUAAGCACUCCGCCUGGGGAGUACGGUCGCAAGAUUAAAACUCAAAGGAAUUGACGGGGACCCGCACAAGCGGUGGAGCAUGUGGUUUAAUUCGACGCAACGCGCAAAACCUUACCUGGAUUUAAACUGGUGUGGACCGGUAUAGAGAUAUACUUUCCCUUCGGGGCUGCAUUAGAGGUGCUGCAUGGCUGUCGUCAGCUCGUGUCGUGAGAUGUUGGGUUAAGUCCCGCAACGAGCGCAACCCUCGCCGAUAGUUGCCAUCAUUUAGUUGGGCACUCUAUUGGGACUGCCGGUGUUAAACCGGAGGAAGGUGGGGAUGACGUCAAGUCCUCAUGGCCCUUACGUCCAGGGCUACACACGUGCUACAAUGGUGACUACAACGAGUCGCAAACCUGCGAAGGUGAGCUAAUCUUUAAAAGUCAUCUCAGUUCGGAUUGGAGU